CUUUCUUUGUCUUCCCCCAUUAACUGCAUCUUGUUCCUUUGUUGUCUUCCCCAACGGCUGAACAAGGUAGAGAGCGUUGGUGGCUCUGGUAACGCUCAAGAUGCCGGCCGACAGCUUUGACUUUGGAAAGUCGAACACGAAGCUUCAAAUUUAAACCGGCCAUUUUCCUAAAUGUCAAACCUCAAAAUCAGAUUUGUUCAUUUUCUAAUAGAUGUUGUUGACCCAAAAUUAAGUUUAAAUCUUUUCAAUUGGUUUUUCUUCUUAUGGAAUAAUUAAGUGAGAUAAAGUGAUAGUGGAGACUGGAGAGAGAAAUGGUGAAUGACUCCUAAUUCUUUGGCUGAAGAGGGUGUUGUUGUACCCAUGGCAGAGAUAACAAAUUCAAUCAUAAAUGGAUUUUUUUUUUCUUUAUACAAUUUAUUAUUAUUGAUAUAA
rnacentral:lncRNA from 1 species